UUAAGACUAUUUGCUAACCCUAAACCUAAAUAUGUUUUUCUUUUCUCAAACUCUAACUCACCCAGCCGCCUUCCUCUAAUCGUCUCUCUCACCAUUUUUGCUUUCUCUUGUCUCUAUCCAUCCUUCUCUCUCACGGCCAGCUACACACCUUUCACCCACGAGGUGUCCUCCCUCAAUCUCGGAGCUCAUCUCUCACGGUCACUGUCACAGCCCGUCGCCCCUCUCCCAUUGUCGAUCCUCCCUUUCUCAAUCUCGGAUCUCAUCAUAGACCCUUCUUCUCACAUUCUCGGAGCCACCCAAGUUGCCCAUCUUCUCUUGAUUCUCGACGAAAACAUAGAGCAUCCCAAGCUUGUUUUUGUCCAUUUACAUUAGGUAAGGGAAAGGGAAAGCUAAACCAGCCGUGAGUUGGAGAGCUUUAGGGGCGGCGUGUACAUUUGCAGUUGCUCGACCGCCACGGCCGAUGGAUCAACAAGGACUAGAGCCAAACUUGAUUUUGCCACUUAGGCUGACUUUAAUUGUAAUCAUUUUGAGAGUUAUAAAUGCCUUGUAAGCACCUAUUUUUGGGAUCCCAUUUACAGACUCAACUUUUUAAUGAAAACAACUAUUUCUAUGAUCAAAUCUUUUAACUCUAAUCCGUUAAUUAACUUUAGUAGCACGUUCAUGUCCAAACGGCUUGAUUAACAAGUCCAGCACUAUUUAAAAUACACAGUGUAAUGGUCUUAGCUAUCCAGGGCAUUGCACGAUGUUUGUUAAUUGUCCCUUAUGCAUAGGAGUGAUUCGGGCUUUGGAUGUUCAGUAUAAAUGGAGACAUCAUAGCCGUUGCAACCAAAAGAUCCCAGAGUUUAUAUCAAGACCAAGUCAUAAGAAACUUAUGAACACAAUUUGCAACCAAACAAAGUUAGAGGAGAUUGAUAUAAUUGAAAUAUUUUUGGAUAUCAACUUGAACAAUGUCUUGUGGGUUUGCUUCUUCUUCUACAACUGCAACCAUAACUGGGCACAACAAUCUUGAUCUCUUCCUUCACAGCGGCAAUCCCAUUAUUUUCUUCAAGAACUCUUCCUCAGGGAUUAUGUUUUCGCGGGAUAAGAAUGUUUCGAAAAUGAACAUGGUCAAAAGAAAUGAUCAAGUUCGUUAAGCCAGAUAAGACGGAUGCUUCUGCUGACUCAAUAGUUUCCUAUUUUGUCGAAACAGAAUCAAUCUGGCUGGCAGAUUUUCUAAGUCAAAGAAAUUUGCAAAUAUUCUUGUAUUGAUUACAAAAUUUCAGAAAGAGUUGGCCUUGGUCGACUUUCUCACCUAUUAAUACCUUGCCAAAGCCUAUGGAAAAAUCACAUCUUCCAUUUUGAAUUUUGUAAACACUUGUUAUUAUUUUGAAGAGUAUUUUUCUUUGUAAAAUUAAGUUGUUCACCUUAAUCUUUGUGUGUAUGCCAAGUGCACUUGUCCAUACAUCUAUCUUGUUCCUUGUAAAUAGGUGGUAUCUCUUGUGAACGUGUUCCUAAGGAUCUUCAGGAGAAGAUUUCAUCAAAGUCUCAAUUCGGGAGGAAGAGAGCACUCGCUUUUCUUUGAAGGGAUUUCAAGAGAAUCAACGUUUCAUCAAAACCAGAUUCGUAGAGAAGAGUACAACAAGAUUGCAACAAAUUUAAGACGGAGUCUUACAUUUUUUUAAGUCUAUGCUUUUAUACACAUUAUGUCUUUACUAAUUGGUUUAUUCUCUGGGCGUGGCCUCGUGGAUGAAGGUUAUGCAAAAGGAUUUUUGAACCAUGUAAAAACUCUUGUGUGUAGA